rnacentral:lncRNA from 1 species
GCCAAAUAUAGUAUUCUUUGGAGAAAAGUUGUUUCAAGUUUUGGUGUCUCUGCCCUACUAUUGCCCAGGGCUUGUGUUCACCUUUGUCCUUCCUUUGUUCUCAUCACCUGAGUCAGAUGAUGGACAAGACAGCUCAUGACCACGAAUCAGCCAGAGAAAGAGCUGAAGGGCCCAGCAUGAAGUCUUUGUUCCCAAGAGGUGGUGUGGUACCUGGGGACCAUUAUGACAACAUACACCACCUAGGGGGCCCUCUAUGGAUGACAGCUCCUCCUGUGAGUCACCCUUCUCCCUUCGCAGCGUGGGUCUCGACACCCUGUGCCUCUUUGCUCCCGUUUUUCUCCUGUUAUCAGAAUCUUGUCUAGAUGCUUGAGCCCCAAACACACUUCUCUACAGCCCUGGCCCUUCUGCCCAUCCUAGCGAUGCAGGAAAGAAGGCAGAAAAGAAACAAGAGAAGCCAAAGCCAUUGGCUUUCAUGUAUUUCUUCUUCUCUUUAGAGUUCAUAAAUCUGCAGUUUAUCUAAAGUUUUCCAGUGUUUUCAAAUUUGGCACCCCAGCAGCAACAGCCCAUGAACACCAGCUCUGCAGACUCAUGUACACACUUGAUAAGAUUCGCCCUGGAGCUAUGCUGCCAGUAGUCACCCGAGCUGAUGCGUGGAGCCCAGAAGAUCCGUUCUCUAAAAAUGAAGAGGAAGCCCACUAUUUUCCACAAGGGCCCAGCACUGCAGACAGGGAGCAAACUACUGGGCUUGAGUCUAAGAUCCAUGAAGGGGUGAGCAAGAGAUGUCCUGUAUUCAUGCACCACCCACCAUGGACCAGCAUGGAGCAUAUGUCUCAAAGACCCUAAGGUAAAGCAGGUUUCCACGGUAGGAUGUGAAACAGGCUAAGCUAUAGAAAACUGCCAUAAGUCAACUCAGCAUGUGGCCAUUCAUCCUUCUGUGUUGAAGCACAGAUCAAUCUUAGCAUAAAUAACAGUUGGGACCUUGAAGAGAACUGUCAAUAGUUCUUAACAGUUAAUAGUACUGAACUCCUGCCAGAGAUGGGGAAAAAAAAAAAAAAGUCUGCCAUUCAGAAAUACAUGGUGAAUUCAAAACAUAGCCUCUUGCUGAGACAACUAGUAACAGUAAUGAGCCAUGGAAGUUUCUGGAAAAGGCCCAUCAAAACAGCUGACAAAGGGGGAUGGAGCUUAACGAAUGAAUUACUAGUUAUUACUACCAAUUUUCUAGGCUUUCCCCAAGGUUAUCAUCUCCAGCUGCACCUUGCAGCUUCCACAUAAUGAAAUUUGGGGGAGGAUGGAGACUCCAUACAGUGAGAAGUUUUUCUAAGAAGGUUCUUCUAGAACAUCUCUCACUGGCUCUGUGCAGAGGGGACUUUCCUCAUCAGAGCCAACCUUCUAGGAAACCACGUAUCCAGCAGUCUAUACAGUGAUUUUUAA